UUAGGAUUUCGAGGAUAGCAGACGGUGACAGGAGAUUUUCCGCGAGGAAAGAGCGCGCUCAGACUCAUUUUCGCUUCGACCGUGCCAACAGCUACGCUACCGAAACCGUCAACAAUCCGCGAGCCGUUUUUCCGUAUUGGCGUACAAGUGUGUUCCCGAGCUUCGAGUGCCUGGAGGGACGCCUCCAGAUCCACCCCAGCCCACAACUAUUCCUGGUGCCGUCAACGGUCGUGAGAACGAGGGAUAGAGCGUUCGGCCAGCGACCGAGCUUAUAGAAAUAGUGCGGAACAAACCUGUUUGGACGGCUUCAUUUGAAAAUUAAAAAGGUGGGUUUCCGGACUCAAAAAGAUUCGUUUGGCAUCUCUCAGUGGCACUUGUAGUUCGCAGAGUUUCGUAUGAUUCGCAUAUCGAUCGUGAUCGUGAGCUUCUAUGUUCAAUAUCCAAUCCUAUAGAUAAAUCACGAAAGAGAUAAAAAUGUAUCGAAAAUAUUUUUCAAUCGUAAAUAAUGCGUAAACUCUCCGAAUUAUUAGCGUACUUUUAUUUCUUGAGGAUUUACUCCAGUUAUAACAAAAGAUUCUCUAAAAACUGGACUGGCCGUGUGUCUUACGCCCUUGGUUUUAAAACUAUAUAACUUCUGCUUCUUCCGAUGGGUCCAAGAUUGUUUGAUCACCUCCAAGAACACGUAAGGCUCCAAAGUGCAGUUAUAUUGUUUUGGUGGAAGACCAGAUAAUGCCUAAGAGUAUAACAAUUUUUUAAUUAUUUCAUAAUGUUUUCUUCAUGGAAUCACAACUCGAUUAAGAUAUUAUGAUCUUUUAUUUAUAAAUCUUGCAUGAGUUUCAUAAUCAAUUCAUAAAAAUAUAAUAUUUGUUUACCUCUAUGCCAAUAACUAAUUUUGCAGCUGUGAUCCCUUCGCAAUGUGGCAAGUAGCGAAGACUCAACGUUAAUUCCGUAGGAAAGUGUUUCUCUUUGGUUCCAUUUUUUUGUUUUGGUGGCUGCACGAGAUUCUAAAUAACAUAAUUACGUAUUUCACCACAUCGAGUAUAUACGUAAGAGUUUAUAUACUUUAAAAUGAAAUUUAGAAUUACCACGACUGACGAGGUGUCGAUCGUUUCCAACCGACUAUUUUCAGAGAUGAUAGAGUUUCUAGGCGACGUCGAAUUUUCGCAGAUAGUUCCUGGUUUGAAAAAUGUUUAUUCAUUUAAUUCUUUGUAACGUUUUGUAAUUUUUAUAUUUUUGUCAUUAAAAUAAAUAAAAAUUACCG